rnacentral:piRNA from 1 species
UCUGCUAAAAGAUGUCAUUAAUUAGUUAGA